rnacentral:rRNA from 1 species
AUUGAACGCUGGCGGCAUGCCUUACACAUGCAAGUCGAACGGUAACAGGUCUUCGGAUGCUGACGAGUGGCGAACGGGUGAGUAAUACAUCGGAACGUGCCCGAUCGUGGGGGAUAACUACUCGAAAGAGUAGCUAAUACCGCAUACGAUCUACGGAUGAAAGCGGGGGAUCUUCGGACCUCGUGCGGACGGAGAGACCGAUGGCAGAUUAGGUAGUUGGUGGGAUAAAAGCUUACCAAGCCGACGAUCUGUAGCUGGUCUGAGAGGACGACCAGCCACACUGGGACUGAGACACGGCCCAGACUCCUACGGGAGGCAGCAGUGGGGAAUUUUGGACAAUGGGCGAAAGCCUGAUCCAGCAAUGCCGCGUGCAGGAUGAAGGCCUUCGGGUUGUAAACUGCUUUUGUACGGAACGAAAAGACUCCUUCUAAUACAGGGGGUCCAUGACGGUACCGUAAGAAUAAGCACCGGCUAACUACGUGCCAGCAGCCGCAGUAA